AUCUCUCCUCCUUCUUCAAUUAAACCUUCAUAAAAAAUAAUUUCUGCACAUACAACAUCACCAAUAAACUUCACUUUACAAACAACAACAAAAGCCAUCACCAUAAUCUCUAUUCCAUGAGCAAACAACAACAACAACUACUACAACAAACAAUACUACAAAAGGAAGAGUCAAAAAUAGAGAAGAAGAUGUUGGAAAUCCACCACAACCUAUGGAGAAUUUCUAUCAAUCUUGAUGAACAAGAUUUUUUAUCACCCACACAAUAACAAU
rnacentral:lncRNA from 1 species